GGAAAAGAAACCAACAGGGAUUGCCUCAGUAACGGCGAGUGAAGCGGCAAAAGCUCAAAUUUGAAAUCUGGAGCCUUCGGCUUCCGAGUUGUAAUUUGAAGAGGGUGUUUCGGUUGCGGCCCUGGCCUAAGUUCCUUGGAACAGGACGUCAUGGAGGGUGAGAAUCCCGUACAUGGCUGAGGGCUUGCUUCCAUGUGAAACCCCUUCGAAGAGUCGAGUUGUUUGGGAAUGCAGCUCAAAAUGGGUGGUAAAUUUCAUCUAAAGCUAAAUAUUGGCGGGAGACCGAUAGCGCACAAGUAGAGUGAUCGAAAGAUGAAAAGCACUUUGAAAAGAGAGUUAAACAGUACGUGAAAUUGUUGAAAGGGAAGCGCUUGCAAUCAGACUCGCUUUCGGUUGAUCAGCGACGCCUUCUGGCGCGUGCACUCUGCCGUUUGCGGGCCAGCAUCGGUUGGGGCGGCGGGACAAAGGCGGCGGGAAUGUGGCUCCUCUCGGGGAGUGUUAUAGCCCGUCGCGUCAUGCCGCCAGCCCCGACCGAGGUCCGCGGUUCGCCUAGGAUGCUGGCUUAAUGGUUGUAAGCGACCCGUCUUGAAACACGGACCAAGGAGUCUAACAUCUAUGCGAGUCUUUGGGUGUCAAACCCAUGGGCGGAAUGAAAGUGAACGGAGGUGGGAGUCCUCGGACGCACCAUCGACCGAUCCUGAUGUUCUCGGAUGGAUUUGAGUAGGAGCAUAGCUGUUGGGACCCGAAAGAUGGUGAACUAUGCCUGAAUAGGGUGAAGCCAGAGGAAACUCUGGUGGAGGCUCGCAGCGGUUCUGACGUGCAAAUCGAUCGUCAAAUUUGGGUAUAGGGGCGAAAGACUAAUCGAACCAUCUAGUAGCUGGUUCCUA
rnacentral:rRNA from 1 species